CAAGGCAGACGGGCUCAGUAACACGUAGUCAACCUUACCCUAUGGACGAGGAUAAUCUCGGGAAACUGAGCAUAAUACUCGAUAGAUCAUAAUGCCUGGAAUGGUUUAUGRUURAAAUGAUUCGUCGCCAUAGGAUGGGACUGCGGCCUAUCAGCUUGUUGGUGAGGUAAUGGCCCACCAAGGCGAUUACAGGUACGGGCUCUGAGAGGAGAAGCCCGGAGAUGGGUACUGAGACAAGGACCCAGGCCCUAUGGGGCGCAGCAGGCGAGAAAACUUUGCAAUGUGCGAAAGCACGACAAGGUUAAUCCGAGUGAUUUCUGCUAAAGAAAUCUUUUGCAAGUCAUAAAACCACUAGUGAAUAAGGGGUGGGCAAGUUCUGGUGUCANCCGCCGCGGUAAAACCAG
rnacentral:rRNA from 1 species